CACUCAGCUCAUCUCUGGACCCUCUGCCACAGGGCUACUUGGCUAUAGGCGGCUUGCCUGGCACCAGGGUCCCCUGGGUCUAGAGAAGGAUGCCUGUCUGCUGACUGUCCUUGGUGAGUAGGGGGCAGGCCACCACGGAGGGAGCGGUCGCAAGGUGUCCUCCGUAGCAGAGCACAGUUGUGUCAGGGCCAGGGGACCCUUGGUUUUCCACAGGACAAAACAGCUGUCCUGGGCUGGCACAGGAGAGAGGCCUGUCUGGGCCCAGAGGUGGCAGAGCCCUCGUCCUGCUGUCAGGAGGCAGCAACCUGCACAGGAAAGCAGCCGGUGAGGGAGGAGGUGAGGUGCAGGAUGGGCUGCCGGGGGGGGGGGGGGCUAUUGCCUGUGGAGGCAGCGAAACCACCAGGCAGCACCUCGCCCUGC
rnacentral:lncRNA from 1 species